rnacentral:lncRNA from 1 species
AUGAGGUGUCUAGUUGGAAAAGAGUGGGGGGCGGAUAGAGUGGCACUAAAGGGUAUAUAUGAUGGUUUAAUUAGAGCAGUUAUAGAUUAUGGGAGUGUGGUAUAUGGGGCAGCAGCAGAGACACAUAUGAAGAAACUGGAAGGUAUACAGAAUCAGGCAUUGCGUUUAUGUACAGGCGGUUUUAAAACAACACCUAUAGCUGCGCUGCAGGUAGAAAUGGGGGUCAUGCCUAUUGAUUUGAGAAGGCUGCAAUUGUCACUGACAUACUGGGUGCAUUUACAAGGACAUAGCAAGGACCAUCCAGCGCAAGACACGUUAAAACCUAGUUGGGAAAAAGAGAAAAAGGAAGUUAGGAAUUUUGGUUGGACAGCAGUGCAGAGGGCAAAAGAAAUUGGAAUUGAAAAGAUACAGUUUAGUCCAACAGUACCAAUAUCAGCACUCCCACCCUGGAUUCUUCCAGAUGCUACAGUAGAUCUGACAAUUCUAGAAAGGAAAAAUAAUGAUAGAGAGUUUGUUUGUAAUGCCAUAAGUGUGCAAGAGUAUAUUGAUAAAUGCUAUGGUUAUGUAAAGAUAUAUACAGAUGGAUCAAAGAGUGCAGAAAGUAAAGUAGGAGUAGCAUUUUGGGUCCCAGAAUUUCAGGUGCGGGUGGGUAAAAGGGUCAAUGAUGAAGUAUCAGUGUAUACAGCAGAAAUGAUUGCAAUAUUAUUGGCAAUACAUUGGGUAGAGGAAACUAGACCAGUAAGAGUAACAAUAUGUUCUGACUCAAGUUCAGUUCUAACCAGUCUACAGAGCAGUAAGUCAGAUCGCAGGCCGGACAUUCUAAUAGAGAUAAAACAGAUUUUAUAUAGAAUAGAGAUGAUGGGUAUAACAGUGGUGUUUGUGUGGGUACCGGCACAUAUUGGAGUGAGAGGGAAUGAGGUGGUAGAUAAGGUGGCAAAAGAGGCAACAAAAUGUGAAGAAAUUGAAUUGCGCAUAAAUAUCAGCAAGAUGGAGGGUAAAAACAUAAUUAAAAGGAAAAUGAAGGAGAAAUGGCAGAAGAGGUGGGAGGAGGAGAGGAAGGGAAGGUGGUUUUAUAAAAUUCAGAGGAAAGUAGGAGAGGCCAGGGGAACAGGAAGGAGCAGAAGGGAAGAAACCGUAAUAUCACGGUUAAGAUUUGGACAUACAGGGCUAAAUGCAUCGUUGUUUAUGGUUGGAAAACAUGACACAGGGAGGUGUGAUCAUUGUGAGGAGCAGGAAACUGUAGAUCAUGUAAUGAACAUUUGUAGAAAGUAUGAAGUAGAGAGACGACAAAUGCAGGAUAAUUUGGCAGAAAUUAAAGAAAGAUAUGAGUUAGAGAAUAUAUUAAGGAAAAUGUCAGGAGAUAGAUGCUAUAGGCACGUAUUUGGAUAUUUAAAAGAAACAAAUUUGAUAAAGAAAAUAUGA